AUUGAACGCUGGCGGCAGGCCUAACACAUGCAAGUCGAGCGGUAGCACAGGGAGCUUGCUCUCGGGUGACGAGCGGCGGACGGGGGAGUAAUGUCUGGGAAACUGCCUGAUGGAGGGGGAUAACUACUGGAAACGGUAGCUAAUACCGCAUAACGUCGCAAGACCAAAGUGGGGGACCUUCGGGCCUCAUGCCAUCAGAUGUGCCCAGAUGGGAUUAGCUAGUAGGUGGGGUAAUGGCUCACCUAGGCGACGAUCCCUAGCUGGUCUGAGAGGAUGACCAGCCACACUGGAACUGAGACACGGUCCAGACUCCUACGGGAGGCAGCAGUGGGGAAUAUUGCACAAUGGGCGCAAGCCUGAUGCAGCCAUGCCGCGUGUGUGAAGAAGGCCUUCGGGUUGUAAAGCACUUUCAGCGGGGAGGAAGGCGAUAAGGUUAAUAACCUUGUCGAUUGACGUUACCCGCAGAAGAAGCACCGGCUAACUCCGUGCCAGCAGCCGCCGUAAGAC
rnacentral:rRNA from 1 species